AUACGUAAGGGGCGAGCGUUGUCCGGAAUGAUUGGGCGUAAAGGGCGCGUAGGCGGCGCGGUAAGUCUGGAGUGAAAGUCCUGCUUUCAAGGUGGGAAUUGCUUUGGAUACUGCCGCGCUUGAGUGCAGGAGAGGUUAUCGGAAUUCCCGGUGUAGCGGUGAAAUGCGUAGAGAUCGGGAGGAACACCAGUGGCGAAGGCGGGUAUCUGGGCUGCAACUGACGCUGAGGCGCGAAAGCGUGGGGAGCAAACAGGAUUAGAUACCCUGGUAUGCCACUCUGUAAACGAUAAAUGCUAUGUGUAAGAGGUAUCGACCCCUUUUGUGCCGGAGUUAACACAAUAAGCAUGCCGCCUGGGGAGUACUGCCUCAAGAUUGAAACUCAAAAGAAUUUGCGGGG
rnacentral:rRNA from 1 species